UAGGGAAUUUUUCACAAUGAGCGAAAGCUUGAUGGAGCAAUGCCGCGUGAACGAUGAAGGUCUUUAAGAUUGUAAAGUUCUUUUAUUUGGGAAGAAUGACUUUAGCAGGUAAUGGCUAGAGUUUGACUGUACCAUUUUGAAUAAGUGACGACUAACUAUGUGCCAGCAGUCGCGGUAAUACAUAGGUCGCAAACGUUAUCCGGAUUUAUUGGGCGUAAAGCAAGCGCAGGCGGAUUGAAAAGUCUGGUGUUAAAGGCAGCUGCUUAACAGUUGUAUGCAUUGGAAACUAUUAAUCUAGAGUGUGGUAGGGAGUUUUGGAAUUUCAUGUGGAGCGGUGAAAUGCGUAGAUAUAUGAAGGAACACCAGUGGCGAAGGCGAAAACUUAGGCCAUUACUGACGCUUAGGCUUGAAAGUGAGGGGAGCAAAUAGGAUUAGAUACCCUAGUAGUCCACACCGUAAACGAUAGAUACUAGCUGUCGGGGCGAUCCCCUCGGUAGUGAAGUUAACACAUUAAGUAUCUCGCCUGGGUAGUACAUUCGCAAGAAUG
rnacentral:rRNA from 1 species